rnacentral:misc_RNA from 1 species
UAUUGAAAUAAAUAAAGUGUGGAAGGCUCGUCGCUGGCCAGUUCGUUCUGGCAUGUGCACGUCUUCCACCAUAUUAAUACACACUUGUGCACCUGUUGUAGAGAACCCCCCGCGAGGGGGGGGAUCUAUGUUUUAUCUAUCACACCAAACGUAUGUCUACAGAAUGUCUAUCGAAGGCCUUACCGAACGGAGGGUGAUUCCUCUCUAAUAGGAGGGCUGGGUAUAAUAAAUAUACAACUUUCAGCAACGGAUCUCUUGGCUCUCGCAUCGAUGACGAACGCAGCGAAUUGCGAUAAGUAAUGUGAAUUGCAGAUUUUCAGUGAAUCAUCGAAUCUUUGAACGCAUCUUGCGCUCCUUGGUAUUCCGAGGAGCAUGCCUGUUUGAGUGUCGGUUAAUUUAUCAACCGACGUCUUUCGUGGACGUCGGCUUGGACUUGGGAGCUUUGCCGGUCUUUCACGAUCGGCUCUCCUGAAAUGCAUUAGUGAAGUGUCUGAAGGAUGGCUUGGACGUGAUAAUCGAUCGUCCCGGCCGCUCUCCAUGCUUUGCUUCCAACUCGACGUAGUUAUUAGGGAAGGGCGAACGUGUGGCUACUCGGCCAUGGCUUAUUAGUGUCGGACGGUUUCCGUCUGUGCGAAAGGCCGGGGUCGACACUGGCCUUAAACUACUAGUCUCAACGAACGCACGUCAAAUGUGAACAUGAUCGACAUAGUUAUUAGGAUGGACGAACGUGUGCUCGAACUACUAGUCUGAACGAAAUGCUACGGGCAGUCAUUAGGAAGGAGCGAACGUGUGGCUCAUUAGCAUCUGACGAACGCAAUCAGCGAUUAGCUAUUAGUCUGUGCAAACGGUCGACACCGCCGCUCUGAAACGAACGCUACCGUAGUUGAUUAGGAAAGACGAACGUCUACACACCGCCAGUCCGACCGAAAGCAUGUCGAUCUACACGAUCGAAACUUG